ensembl:lncRNA
AUUGGUUUAUUAAUAUUAAAUUGAAUCACAGAAUUACAAAACCGAGUAUCACUGCCAUAAAUAGGUUUGGGAAUAAGCACUUGUUUCUGGGAAAGCAGAUGGGUUAACUGGAAGCGAUGUAUGUGGGUAUUCUAAGGAACAUCCUGCCAGACAGGGGUGUUCAGCCCACAGUUUAUGGAGAGCAUGGCAAGCGUGGCUGUUCCGAGAGGGCUCGUUCGGUGCUGGUGGAACAGAGAGCUCAGGCUGUGGUGUGGCUUCCACCACCCUGCAAACUAAGUCCCAUUCACUCCUCCAUCCCCUUUCAACCUUACAGAAAUGUGCUGAACUCUCUCAUCCGUCAAUGACCCCUGCCUCUCUUCCUGUCCUCUGGGUUUAUAUCUUCUCUUUUCCUUACUGUCAUUUUAAGGGGAGGGGGUGUCGAGAGGGAGAAAAGAUGAGCAUUAAAGUUCAAGCUGCCAUUUGUAUCCAGACAAUUCUCUCUUAUUUAAGACUCCCAACAGCCAGUGAGUGUCAGAGCCUAUUAUUAUCCCCACAAAGGUCACACAGCUGUAAGUGACAGAAGCAAGUUUCAAACUCAGGUCUGUCAGAGGCUGUAGUGGAUGCUGUGGUGCUUUGCCCAGAUCCCCUCUCAGGGUCAACACACCAUCGGCCAGCUGCUGGGGCGUUGGUUGCUGGUGGCUCCCUGGAAAUUGCCCUUGGCUGUAGGAACUGCCUCGCCCUGGCGGAAGUCUUUCCUCUGGAGAUCACCGUGGCCCGUGACUGGCUGAUGCAGGGAUAUGAAAGCCCAACCCUACUCCCUCAAUUUGGGACAAUUCUCAGGGGCCCUCCCAGCUCCAAAGCUCCUUGUGGGCUGGACUUCUGUAAAGAGAAACAUCCUCUCGUAAACGAUUUGGAUCCUCUAAGAAAUAGUGUCUGUGCUACAAAAUCUCACCCACCUGGCCAGAGGUGAGCCCCUUACUUAGCUGGGCCAAUCAAAGGGCUUCUUUGGAAUUUUUCAAAAUGGAGCGAAGGGUUGAGCACGUGGAUGGUGUCCUGUAGAUGCUUGUUGAUGGCCCAGCCCCUCCUCUCCACCUCCACAGCCACCAGGGAGGAAUAACUGGGCCCUGGAUGUGAUGUGAUGAGUGAAUAUUCCUGAUGAGAAGUGGAAAUAAUUCAUGGUUGAGAGCUGUGCCUCAGAUCAGAGUGACAGGAUACAUGGCCAGGCUAUAUUUUCCAGCAGAUUACGUUAAAAGCUGUGGCCUAAGACUCUAAAGUAUGAAGACAAAAGGAGAAGAUGACACAAUAUCUUUCUAAAGAAAUAUUUUCCAGCCAAACGGUGCAGCAGAUGACUUCUAGGAAUUUGUUCUUGUUCUCUAUUGAAGGUGAGGAAAUGAGGACAUAGAGGCUCAGAGGGUCAGAUGACUUACUGAAGAUGUCAAAUUAACGAGAGUGUGGUGAUCUGCAUUCAGUCUGUCUGGCUAUUUUUUUUCUCAGAGAGAGAGAACUUCCAGCUGCAGUGGAUCAGUUUAAUUCAUGUUAUUUGUUGAGUGCCCUCUGUGUGCUGAGUGCUGUGCUGUCUCCUAUAAAACGUCUCCAACAUUCCUCUUCCUCUUCCCCAGGCUGAGACUACCUUUAUUUCCCCAGCAAUUCCAAUUCUGUCUAGUCUUUAAGGUUCAGCUUUAGCCUGCUCCCUUCAGGAAGUUUGCCCUGAUUACCCCAGGAAUCCCUUCUUUCUGAACCUCUCUUGAGUGCCCCUCAAUUCCAGGAAAGAGUGUGCAGGAAAGAGUGAGAGGCAGAGUGGAUCCUUUUGUUUACCCCCAGGAAUUGACAAUAAGUUUAUAGCUUAGAAAAAGGACACAAAGUCCCCACAUUUUAAAGAGACUGACCAGGAGUCAGGGUGGCCUUCUUCUGGCUGAGAGGCUCCUGGUUAAAAAAACCAGCCCCACUCUGACCUCUUCCCCCUAGAAGAGGAGGAUUGCGAGAGGGAAAAGCUGUUUUUCAUCUCGUUUCCUUGGGGGAGACAAAGGAUUUACCCUCCCUGAGACAAGGCCCCAAGGAAAGGACGGAUUGACAUUUUGUUUCUCCGUUUAACUACCUGGCCUUGCUCUGGUGUAGCAGCAGAAACGCAGAGGAGACAGGGAGUUAUUUGGCCAGAUAAAUGGGGCAAGGACAGCCCUCAUACCAGUUCAGGUCUUGAAUUCCUCACAGUCCUCUGAGUAGAGAUGCAUAGAGAUUAGGGACCUCAUGCAGUGACGGGCAUCAGGAGAAUGAGUUGUGAGACCAUGAUGGGGGUGUCAGCCCAGGAUGAGGCAAAUCUCAGUGGGGAUCACCAGUAUGUAGUGGAGCUGCUUGGAGAGGGCCCUCAUCAGCAGAGUUUGUGAGAGCCUCUCCACCACCCAUAAGGAGCCCAUAGACAACAAAC